UACGUAGGUGGCAAGCGUUAUCCGGAAUUAUUGGGCGUAAAGAGCGCGCAGGUGGUUGAUUAAGUCUGAUGUGGAAGCCCACGGCUUAACCGUGGAGGGUCAUUGGAAACUGGUCGACUUGAGUGCAGAAGAGGGAAGUGGAAUUCCAUGUGUAGCGGUGAAAUGCGUAGAGAUAUGGAGGAACACCAGUGGCGAAGGCGGCUUCCUGGUCUGUAACUGACGCUGAGAAGCGAAAGCAUGGGGAGCGAACAGGAUUAGA
rnacentral:rRNA from 1 species